CUAGGAGCACCGAAAACAGUUCUAGACAGACCUGUGGUUUUAUAGCAGUUUUGGCAGUCAACUUCAGCUUGUGCCUGGGCAGUGGGGCCGCAGUCGCCUGCCAGCGCCAGUGGGGGACACCAGGCCACCUCCCCCAGCUGCAAGCAGCCCCUCACUUAAUUAGAUCGGCUUCCUCUGGUGCCAAGGAGAGGGUGUCCUCACAGAAAGG
rfam:Heterocephalus glaber contig112397, whole genome shotgun sequence.